UACGAAGGGAGCUAGCGUUGUUCGGAAUCACUGGGCGUAAAGCGCACGUAGGCGGAUUUGUCAGUCAGGGGUGAAAUCCCGGGGCUCAACCUCGGAACUGCCUUUGAGACUGGAUCGCUUGAUCACGGGAGAGGUGAGUGGAAUUCCGAGUGUAGAGGUGAAAUUCGUAGAUAUUCGGAAGAACACCAGUGGCGAAGGCGGCCUUCUGGCUCAUAACUGACGCUGUAGCGCGAAAGCGUGGGGAGCGAACCGG
rnacentral:rRNA from 1 species